rnacentral:rRNA from 1 species
GACGAACGCUGGCGGCGUGCUUAACACAUGCAAGUCGAACGGAAAGGCCCUGCUUUUGUGGGGUGCUCGAGUGGCGAACGGGUGAGUAACACGUGAGUAACCUGCCCUUGACUUUGGGAUAACUUCAGGAAGCUGGGGCUAAUACCGGAUAUGAGCUCCUGCUGCAUGGUGGGGGUUGGAAAGUUUCGGCGGUUGGGGAUGGACUCGCGGCUUAUCAGCUUGUUGGUGGGGUAGUGGCUUACCAAGGCUUUGACGGGUAGCCGGCCUGAGAGGGUGACCGGCCACAUUGGGACUGAGAUACGGCCCAGACUCCUACGGGAGGCAGCAGUGGGGAAUAUUGCACAAUGGGCGGAAGCCUGAUGCAGCAACGCCGCGUGCGGGAUGACGGCCUUCGGGUUGUAAACCGCGUUCGCCUGUGACGAAGCGUGAGUGACGGUAAUGGGUAAAGAAGCACCGGCUAACUACGUG